rnacentral:lncRNA from 1 species
AGUUUGCACCCCAACUUCUCAAGUUCUUCAAUAAGAUCAAUCAUAUGAUUGACAUAGGGUCCAACUGGUGAGUUUCCAGUCAAUUUGGAUCCAAAUAAAACCUUAGAUAGUUGGUAUCUAGCUGUCCUGCUUUGUGUAGUAAACAUCUUCUUAAGAUGUUCAAUAAUUGCAGUUGGAUCCAUAUCCUGAUGUUUCCUCUGC